rnacentral:lncRNA from 1 species
UUUCUAGCCUCACCAAACAUCAAAUAUCACCAAAAUAUCAUGAAAUAUCAUCAAAUUCAGCCACAAUAUUCUCCCUAGGAAAUUCAGCCAAUGAUGGUAAUGGGGGAAAAUGAAUUCUUUUCUUAUUGUUUUGUUUCUAAAUAUGCUAAACUAACUUAAAACACUAACAUAACUUAAAAUCAAAUGAAUCUAACUUCAU